GUGAGCGCCAUAGAACCUCUACUAAUACUAAACUACAAAUGAGAUAUUUUCUUCUGUUCACAGAGUUCAUACAAGAUAUUUACACCUGCAGAAAGAUCCUCAAGUAAAGUUCUUCCUCGGGGUCUGGCCCUAUGUGACCGUGUUGUCAGGAGAGAGCGACAAGUUGAAAUGAGGAAAUGUCCGUCCUAGUGGAGACCUUAGCUCACUCGCAGGUGACCAAAGCUUCCCGGUCAGGAAAUCGGCGAGAUGUUAUAGUGAGACUGUUAUGACCUUCAAAGAAUUUUUUUUUCUUUUUUUGUUUUUGUCAAAGUUUAUGUGAUUAUCAUGAAAGAUUAAUGAAUUUUUUCCAAAGUGAUAAGUUAGGAUAAGAUAAUACUUUACUUUAUUGUCUCAGAGGGAAAUUUUCCUUGGCUGUACAGGACGA